CCCCCUUCCUCACCUCCGUUCCUUCCACGACUGCAAAUCCCGUCGCGCCCAGCCCGUAGCACCAACUCUCCGCUAGCGACUCCCGCAGCAAGGAAGCGGUGCGGCAGGGAGAUCUGGUUGACGAGAUGAGUUCCAGAGAGUACGGCGAGGUGGUCGACGUGAACUUCGUGCGCACCGGAAAAUCCAGGUGCUUUGAGUUCCUCAAUUGAUGGUCAGGGAUCACGAGUCUUGCAGUUGGUAAUCUUAACAGAGCUAAGAUUCUUGGGAGGAUCAUGUCAACCAUCUGGGCAAGUACACUAACUCAAUUUUCAUGUCUCUAAUCGUGGCCUCUUGAGAAACUCAGGUUCAAGAUAAUUUCUGUUGAUAAUACUGAAACUAAGGACUAUCGAUCCACUUUAUUUCGAGGGGGAAAAAACUAAUCUUCUAAGGUCAGGUUGUGUUUUUUUUUUAUCGGAGAAAUACUGCAAAGAUGCUAUUAUGAGUUUAUGACAUAAUUCUUAUUUCAAACUUCUUAAGGAUACAUUUCUGUUCAUUUAGUGAAGAAACAUUCAUUCACUGUAGGAUCUACAUACAAAUUGGCUUCUAGAUGUUCAAAUGCUGAAUGCCAUGCCAUCAAUCUACUAAGGUGGCUGCACAUCUAUUUGGCAUGUGGAUAACCUAGGGCUGGUAUAAGUAGAGCACCAGAACUCUUCAACACCGUUCAUCAGAAGCCUUCAGUCCUUGAAUUUUGGAGGUAAUCUCAUUGUCCACUGUUCUGUUUUCCUCUGUUAUCUUACCCUUCUACAGCUCCAUUUUUUUUAAAUGCCUUUUACCUUAUUCCUGCUAAAGUACUUGAGCCGGGCAUUCUUUGGUGAUAAUGAACUGAGUUGUACCUUCAUCAACUCCUAGCGUUAAUUUUGAGGACUGAGGAGUAACUUGAAAGUUGCAUCUAGAAAGCACGUCAGCCCAUGGAAAACCAGCGCUCUUGCAUCUAGAAAGCGACCAUAUUCACUCCUACAGACAACACCAACUGCUUGAUUACUAACUGAGCAGAUAUUCCCCUGACAGAGUAGUCUUCAUUCUUCAGCCAGCCAGCAGGGUGUGGGAUCCAUCUCUGCUUUGAUGUUAUGUCACUAGAGGGCGGCAAGCUUGGCCAUUUCUUCACUGUUUAGAGAUGGUUGUGUGUUAUGUAAGCAGGUGGUGGGUGUGAAUGGCUUACUGAUCUAAGAUCUGUAGGAACAACUGGUUUAGUGGUGUAUUUCUUCAUUUUUAUCGCAAUUAACUAGCCCCUCCGGGCCCUGGCCUCCACGCUUUGUGUUGGGAUCCAUCGUGAGCCUAGUUGGGUUGCAAUGAAACCAACCCAUCAUGCAUGAAGGAUUGCAUGCAAUGUCGUGGAUCAGAUAUGCGACCCAACUAGGCCCAUUAUAUUGAACAAGAGCAGAUGAGAAUU